UCAGCUUCCGGAACCGCCGUCUGCCGGAAAGGAUACGUGUUUGUUGUUGCCUUACCAUUCAGAAACCAUCUGCGCAUAGUGGCCAGCAGCAGCUGCGUGUCUGGAUCGAAACUCAUUCUGGAAGAGAGUAGACCAUUUUGGUGUUCUUCUUCUUCAGACAAUGUCUUCAUCUUAAAAUGAAGAUACCUUGUAGAAAAUAACCAGCACAAGAACAGAGAGGGAUCAACAAACCGCUGCUACAAGUAAAGGAAGGACGUUGGUGCUGUUCUGACUGGAGCGAAGCCGCUGGCGGGGCGGGGUCUUGUUGUCGCCAGGACUAAACGACUGGGAGACCCCGGAGCCUCCUCG